rnacentral:rRNA from 1 species
GGAGGGGGUUAGCGUUGUUCGGGAAUUACUGGGGCGUAAAGCGCACGUAGGCGGACUGGAAAGUAUGGGGGGGUGAAAUCCCAGGGGCUCAACCCUGGGAACUGCCUCAUAAACUAUCAGUCUAGAGUUCGAGAGAGGUGAGUGGAAUUCCGAGUGUAGAGGUGAAAUUCGUAGAUAUUCGGAGGAACACCAGUGGCGAAGGCGGCUCACUGGCUCGAUACUGACGCUGAGGUGCGAAAGUGUGGGGAGCAAACAGGAUUAGAUACCCUGGUAGUCCACACCGUAAACGAUGAAUGCCAGUCGUCGGGUAGCAUGCUAUUCGGUGACACACCUAACGGAUUAAGCAUUCCGCCUGGGGAGUACGGUCGCAAGAUUA